rnacentral:tRNA from 1 species
AAAAAUUUAGUUAAAUUAUAACAUCAACUUGUCAAGUUGAAAUUAUUAUUAAAUAAUAAUUUUUA